rnacentral:rRNA from 1 species
UACGUAGGGAGCAAGCGUUGUCCGGAAUCAUUGGGCGUAAAGCGCGCGUAGGUGGCCACAUAAGUCUGUUGUGAAAGUCAAAGGCUCAACCUUUGAAAGCCGAUGGAUACUGUGUGGCUAGAGUACGGAAGAGGCGAGUGGAAUUCCUGGUGUAGCGGUGGAAUGCGCAGAUAUCAGGAGGAACACCAUAGCGAAGGCAGCUCGCUGGGACGUUACUGACACUGAGGCGCGAAAGCGUGGGGAGCGAACAGG